GGUGCGGUGGCGAAGUGGUAACGCUGCGGCCUGCAAAGCCGUCAUCCGUCGGUUCAAAUCCGACCCGCACCUCCA
rnacentral:tRNA from 1 species